rnacentral:rRNA from 1 species
AACGAACGCUGGCGGCAUGCCUAACACAUGCAAGUCGAACGCGUCCUUCCGGUCUAGUGCUGCACGGGUGCGUAACGCGUGGGAACCUGCCCUUAGGUUAGGAAUAACUUAACGUACGGGGUGCUAAUACAGGAUAAUGUCUUACGACUAAUGAUUGAUCGUAUUAGGUUGGGCCCGCGUUGGAUUAGCUGGUUGGCACGGUAAAAGCCUACCAAGGCGACGAUCCAUAGCUGGUUAGUGAGAAUGGGCAGUGACACUGGGACUGGGACACGGCACAGACUCCUACGGGAGGCAGCAGUGUGGAAUAGUGGACAGUGGGCGGAGGGAUGAUCGAGCAAGGCCGCUAGAGUUAUGAAGGCCGUGGAGAUCAAGGACGCUUGUACCCGAGAGGAUAAUGACAGUACCGAAAGAAUAAGCUACGGCUAACUCCGUG